rnacentral:rRNA from 1 species
UACAGAGGUCUCAAGCGUUGUUCGGAUUCAUUGGGCGUAAAGGGUGCGUAGGCGGCGCGGUAAGUCGGGUGUGAAAUCUUGGAGCUUAACUCCGAAACUGCAUUCGAUACUGCGGCGCUUGAGGACUGGAGAGGAGACUGGAAUUCAUGGUGUAGCAGUGAAAUGCGUAGAGAUCAUGAGGAAGACCAGUGGCGAAGGCGGGUCUCUGGACAGUUCCUGACACUGAGGCACGAAGGCCAGGGGAGCAAACGGG